GUGAUAUGAACCGUUAUAACCGGCGAUACCCGAAUGGGGAAACCCAGUGUGACUCGUCACACUAUCAUUAACUGAAUCCAUAGGUUAAUGAGGCGAACCGGGGGAACUGAAACAUCUAAGUACCCCGAGGAAAAGAAAUCAACCGAGAUUCCCCCAGUAGCGGCGAGCGAACGGGGAGGAGCCCAGAGCCUGAAUCAGCAUGUGUGUUAGUGGAAGCGUCUGGAAAGGCGCGCGAUACAGGGUGACAGCCCCGUACACAAAAGCGCAUGUGCUGUGAGCUCGAUGAGUAGGGCGGGACACGUGGUAUCCUGUCUGAAUAUGGGGGGACCAUCCUCCAAGGCUAAAUACUCCUGACUGACCGAUAGUGAACCAGUACCGUGAGGGAAAGGCGAAAAGAACCCCGGCGAGGGGAGUGAAAAAGAACCUGAAACCGUGUACGUAC
rnacentral:rRNA from 1 species